rnacentral:misc_RNA from 1 species
GUAUUUUAUUUAUUUUAUUUUUAGGCAAUUUCAAAAAAAAUUUGAAGUAUUUAAAAAAAAGGAUCCCUUUUUUUCUUCUUUUUUCUCUUUCCUCUUUUUCCUUCCCCCCCCCUUCCAAAAAAUGUGAAGGGGAGGGGAGGGGGAAAAAAAGAAAAAAAAGUUAAAGGAAAAAAAGGAAUACAAAAAAUUUCAAUAAAUGCACAUAAGAUGAAUACGGAUUUUUUUAAGAAUUGAUUUAUCCAUAUAUAAUUCCAUCAACCUUUAUUUAAUGAUCCUUCCGCAGGUUCACCUACGGAAA